rnacentral:lncRNA from 1 species
AAAAGAUGGGACGACAUAUCCUUUUUUUUCCCCAAGUUUAAUCUUUGCUAGUCAUCCGUUGUUUUGUCAUGCUAUUUUUUCUGAAAAUGCUGACAACUUAAGGCAUUUAACGCUAGUGUAAUGAAGUUAUCUACAUAUAUACUACAUAAAUUUUGACGAGCAUGAGUUUCUUGAACUAUAUUUUCGCUUUUAUCAUUUUGGAUAAUUUUUAUGUAAUUCUUAUUCUUUGUCAUGUUUUGAACUAUAUUUUCUCUUUUAUCAUUUUGGAUAAUUUUUUUUGUAAUUCUUAUUCUUUGUCAUGUUUCCUUAUAGAUGGCAACAAGCCAAAGCACUUCCGGGUGUUAAUCGUCUUAUGAAACAUCUUCGUAAGCAUGGAGUGCCGUUUGCCCUUGCUUCAAACUCUAUAACGAAAAAUAUUGAUGUUAAAAUUUCUCACCAUGAAGGUUGUGAUGUUCUUUAUCACUUUCUUACUAUAUUGGCCGAAAUCAUCCAUUCUUUGCAUCAUGAUUCUUUUAUGAUCAUCAUGUAGAAGUUCCAUCAUUAUUGCUUCAUUUGAUUAUUCAUGAACCCUUUUUUCGUAGUCAGUUCUCUGCUUUCUACAUUUUCCAGUAUGUAUAGUUUACUAAAUAGUCUGGCUACUGGUAAUAAUUUCACAACUACAACCACUGGCUUUUGUUUUCUAAGACUUAAUUAACGCGACUACUUUCCAAGACUGUUCUUGAAUAUUGACUCUUGAUUAUUUUUGUAACAUUGCUCUGUUCAGGUUUACCUUUCUCCUUUUAUCUUUCUUAAUUUCCAGCACACUAAAUUCAAAUUUCUCAUGCAUCAUGUUGUGUUUGAAUGGCCUCAUAAUUACAAAAUUUCUUGUUAAGCGUAGUCCUUCUUGCUUGCAAAAUAUGCAUAGUGCAUCUCAAGUCACACCUUCUCUCAGCGUCAUAUUCAAGUUCCCCCCCUUUUGUGUUCAUAGGUUGGAAAGAAAACUUCACAACAAUUCUUGGAAGUGACCAAGUCAAGUCAGGGAAACCCUCCCCAGAUAUGUAAGAUAAUGAUUAUUUUUUCCUCUUCACUAUGCCUUGGAGCUUUU